rnacentral:rRNA from 1 species
GUGCAGCAGGCGAGAAUACUUUACAAUGUGCGAAAGCACGAUAAGGGAACUCUGAGUGCCUCCUAAGGAGGCUGUUCAGGUGUCUAAAAAGCACCUGGAGUAAGGGCUGGGUAAGACCGGUGCCAGCCGCCGCGGUAACACCGGCAGCCCAGGUGGUAGCCACUUUUAUUGGGUCUAAAGCGUCCGUAGCCGGUUGAGUAAGUUCCUUGGGAAAUUUGGCUGCUCAACAGUCAAGCUUCCAGGGAAUACUGCUCGACUUGGGACUGGGAGAGGUCAGAGGUACUCCAGGGGUAGGGGUGAAAUCCAUUAAUCCCUGGGGACCACCGGUAGCGAAGGCGUCUGACCAGACCAGGUCCGACGGUGAGGGACGAAGGCUAGGGUCGCGAACCGGAUUAGA